rnacentral:rRNA from 1 species
UACGUAGGGGCCGAGCGUUGUCCGGAAUUACUGGGCGUAAAGCGCGCGCAGGCGGCUGAUCAAGCCUGACGUGAAAGCCCCCGGCUCAACCGGGGAGGGUCGUCGGGGACUGAUUGGCUUGAGGGCGGUAGGGGCCGGUGGAAUUCCCGGUGUAGUGGUGAAAUGCGUAGAGAUCGGGAGGAACACCAGUAGCGAAGGCGGCCUCGGCGU